rnacentral:rRNA from 1 species
CCUAACACAUGCAAGUCGAGCGCAGGAAGCAAGCUGAUCCCCUUCGGGGGUGACGCUUGUGGAAUGAGCGGCGGACGGGUGAGUAACACGUGGGCAACCUGCCUGUAAGACUGGGAUAACCCCGGGAAACCGGGGCUAAUACCGGAUAAUACUUUCUUUUGCAUAAAGGAAAGUUGAAAGGCGGCUUCGGCUGUCACUUACAGAUGGGCCCGCGGCGCAUUAGCUAGUUGGUGAGGUAACGGCUCACCAAGGCGACGAUGCGUAGCCGACCUGAGAGGGUGAUCGGCCACACUGGGACUGAGACACGGCCCAGACUCCUACGGGAGGCAGCAGUAGGGAAUCUUCCGCAAUGGACGAAAGUCUGACGGAGCAACGCCGCGUGAGUGAUGAAGGUUUUCGGAUCGUAAAACUCUGUUGUUAGGGAAGAACAAGUACGAUAGUAACUGAUCGUACCUUGACGGUACCUAACCAGAAA